AUMAUGCAAGUCGACGCGUUGGCCCAAUUGAUUGAUGGUGCUUGCACCUGAUUGAUUUWGGUYGCCARCGAGUGGCGGACGGGUGAGUAACACSUAGGUAACCUGCCCAGAAGCGGGGGACAACAUUUGGAAACAGAUGCUAAUACCGCAUAACAACGUUGUUCGCAUGAACAACGCUUAAAAGAUGGCUUCUCGCUAUCACUUCUGGAUGGACCUGCGGUGCAUUAGCUUGUUGGUGGGGUAAYGGCCUACCAAGGCGAUGAUGCAUAGCCGAGUUGAGAGACUGAUCGGCCACAAUGGGACUGAGACACGGCCCAUACUCCUACGGGAGGCAGCAGUAGGGAAUCUUCCACAAUGGGCGCAAGCCUGAUGGAGCAACACCGCGUGAGUGAAGAAGGGUUUCGGCUCGUAAAGYUCUGUUGUUAAAGAAGAACACGUAUGAGAGUAACUGUUCAUACGUUGACGGUAUUUAACCAGAAAGUCACGGCUAACUACGUGCCAGCAGCCGCGGUAAUACGUAGGUGGCAAGCGUUAUCCGGAUUUAUUGGGCGUAAAGAGAGUGCAGGCGGUUUUCUAAGUCUGAUGUGAAAGCCUUCGGCUUAACCGGAGAAGUGCAUCGGAAACUGGAUAACUUGAGUGCAGAAGAGGGUAGUGGAACUCCAUGUGUAGCGGUGGAAUGCGUAGAUAUAUGGAAGAACACCAGUGGCGAAGGCGGCUACCUGGUCUGCAMCUGACGCUGAGACUCGGAAAGCAUGGGUAGCGAACAGGAUUAGAUACCCUGGUAGUCCAUGCCGUAAACCGAUGAGUGCUAGGUG
rnacentral:rRNA from 1 species